rnacentral:rRNA from 1 species
AGUGAACGCUGGCGGUAGGCCUAACACAUGCAAGUCGAACGGCAGCACAGUAAGAGCUUGCUCUUACGGGUGGCGAGUGGCGGACGGGUGAGGAAUACAUCGGAAUCUACUUUUUCGUGGGGGAUAACGUAGGGAAACUUACGCUAAUACCGCAUACGACCUACGGGUGAAAGCAGGGGAUCUUCGGACCUUGCGCGAUUGAAUGAGCCGAUGUCGGAUUAGCUAGUUGGCGGGGUAAAGGCCCACCAAGGCGACGAUCCGUAGCUGGUCUGAGAGGAUGAUCAGCCACACUGGAACUGAGACACGGUCCAGACGCCUACGGGAGGCAGCAGUGGGGAAUAUUGGACAAUGGGCGCAAGCCUGAUCCAGCCAUACCGCGUGGGUGAAGAAGGCCUUCGGGUUGUAAAGCCCUUUUGCUGGGAAAGAAAAGCAGCAGGUUAAUACCCCGCUGUUCUGACGGUACCCAAAGAAUAAGCACCGGCUAACUUCAUG